rnacentral:rRNA from 1 species
UGCUAGCUUGCUAAUAAUUCUCUAGUGGCGCACGGGUGAGUAACACGUGAGUAACCUGCCCCCAAGAGUGGGAUAGCCCCGGGAAACUGGGAUUAAUACCGCAUAAAAUCGCAAGAUUAAAGCAGCAAUGCGCUUGGGGAUGGGCUCGCGUCCUAUUAGUUAGUUGGUGAGGUAACGGCUCACCAAGGCGAUGACGGGUAGCCGGUCUGAGAGGAUGUCCGGCCACACUGGAACUGAGACACGGUCCAGACACCUACGGGUGGCAGCAGUUGAGAAUCAUUCACAAUGGGGGAAACCCUGAUGGUGCGACGCCGCGUGGGGGAAUGAAGGUCUUCGGAUUGUAAACCCCUGUCAUGUGGGAGCAAAUUAAAAAGAUAGUACCACAAGAGGAAGAGACGGCUAACUCUGUGCCAGCAGCCGCGGUAAUACAGAGGUCUCAAGCGUUGUUCGGAAUCACUGGGCGUAAAGCGUGCGUAGGCGGUUUCGUAAGUCGUGUGUGAAAGGCGGGGGCUCAACCCCCGGACUGCACAUGAUACUGCGAGACUAGAGUAAUGGAGGGGGAACCGGAAUUCUCGGUGUAGCAGCGAAAUGCGUAGAUAUCGAGAGGAACACUCGUGGCGAAGGCGGGUUCCUGGACAUUAACUGACGCUGAGGCACGAAGGCCAGGGGAGCGAAAGGGAUUAGAUACCCCUGUAGUCCUGGCAGUAA